rnacentral:tRNA from 1 species
AUUUAAAUAGCUUAUAUAAAAGAGUAUAACAUUGAAGAUGUUAGGGUGGUAAAAUAUACCUUUAAAUG